AUGGGCGAAAGCCUGAUGCAGCGACGCCUCGUGAGGGAUGAAGGCCUUCGGGUUGUAAACCUCUUUCAGCAGGGAAGAAGCGCAAGUGACGGUACCUGCAGAAGAAGCGCCGGCUAACUACGUGCCAGCAGCCGCGGUAAUACGUAGGGCGCAAGCGUUGUCCGGAAUUAUUGGGCGUAAAGAGCUCGUAGGCGGUUUGUCGCGUCUGGUGUGAAAACUCGAGGCUCAACCUCGAGCUUGCAUCGGGUACGGGCAGACUAGAGUGCGGUAGGGGAGACUGGAAUUCCUGGUGUAGCGGUGGAAUGCGCAGAUAUCAGGAGGAACACCGAUGGCGAAGGCAGGUCUCUGGGCCGCAACUGACGCUGAGGAGCGAAAGCAUGGGGAGCGAACAGGAUUAGAUACCCUGGUAGUCCAUGCCGUAAACGUUGGGCACUAGGUGUGGGGCUCAUUCCACGAGUUCCGUGCCGCAGCAAACGCAUUAAGUGCCCCGCCUGGGGAGUACGGCCGCAAGGCUAAAACUCAAAGGAAUUGACGGGGGCCCGCACAAGCGGCGGAGCAUGCGGAUUAAUUCGAUGCAACGAAGAACCUUACCAAGGCUUGACAUGCACGGGAAGCCACCAGAGAUGGUGGUCUCU
rnacentral:rRNA from 1 species